rnacentral:rRNA from 1 species
UGCGUAGGUGGGCAGUUAAGUCAGUGGUGAAAUCUCCGGGCUCAACCCGGAAACUGCCAUUGAUACUAUCUGUCUUGAAUAUCGUGGAGGUAAGCGGAAUAUGUCAUGUAGCGGUGAAAUGCUUAGAUAUGACAUAGAACACCAAUUGCGAAGGCAGCUUACUACCCGAAUAUUGACACUGAGGCACGAAAGCUGGGGAUCAAACA